AUGAUUGGUGGACUGCUUGUGUUGAUCUGGUCACUGAUAUCUGUCAGCGUUCAUCGCAAACAGCAGAUUGUGUUUGUUAGUUAUGGGGAAAUUAGUGAAGCAAAGGCGGGUCAUUUGGUGCCCAUUGCUGCCUGCUGCCGCGCUGAUAAUGGGAGAGGAGCGGUGAUUAACUUUUUUGUGGGUGAUGUUGUAGUAUUACUAAAAUCAGCGACAAUUAAUAUGGAUAAGAGGGAGUAUAUGAUUUUUCCAGCAAUUUGUUUCUAUGGAAAACAUCAAAUCAUAUAUAUUUUUCCUAGUCAGGAAGAAAAUCAUGAUUUUUUUUUUGAACGUAGGAAGAAAAGCAUGAUGGAUCUCUUGGCAAGGUUAUUGUGUGGCUGA
rnacentral:rRNA from 1 species